rnacentral:tRNA from 1 species
UGUCGGAUAGCUCAGUUGGCAGAGCGUUGCCCUGAUAAGGCAGAGGUCACAGGUUCAAGUCCUGUUCCGACAACCA